rnacentral:tRNA from 1 species
GCUGGCGUAGCUCAGUUGGUAGAGCAGCUGAUUUGUAAUCAGCAGGUCGCGCGUUCGAUUCGUGUCGCCAGCUCCA